rnacentral:lncRNA from 1 species
AGACAAACCCCUCUUAAUCACUGCCAAAAAAAUGUGUUGUAAUUAGGAGGAGGAGGAGGAGGUCACUGUAAUAAAGAGGAGGCUGGUGGUGACAGCCCUCCUUGGCCCUGUUCUCCUCCUUCCUCCCCCUCCUCCUCACAUGCCCUGCCUGAGGUGAGCAAUUGAUUUGAUUGAUUGAUUGAUGCUUUGCUUGAUUCGUUCUUCUUCGUGUUCUUUCCACCAUGCAGCAAGGCUGCAGAAGAUUUUCAGCCUCUGGAUUUGUGCUGUUCUUCUUUUUUGAUUGGGGUUUGUCUCUGUUCAUCUUGUCAGGGGAGCUUGAGGUUGAAUCUGUGUGCUCGCUCUGUUGAAUUCUUGAUAGUGCUGUUCUUGGUUGAGCUCUUUCUUGAAUGUGUUGUAGAAUUGGUGUUGAUUUUUCCCCCUUUUUUGUUUCCUGGUUGGAUCUGAGUGGUUUUGUUUCUUGUUGAUGGAGCUUUUUUUUGGAUUGCUGUGAUGUCACUUUGGCAGGAAUUAUCCUUCCUGUUGAUUUUCUGAGCUCGCAGAGAAAUGGGGAUGCCUUUCGAUGAUUGUAAACAGAAAGGCCAAUUUUUUGAGCUUCGAUUUAGUAAAAUUUUUGUAAAGAUUCAUACUCGAAGUUUUCCGGUCAAGAAAUGGUGCAUUGUUGCAUUGGAUUUUGAUUUAUCGGAUUUGUUCAAAGUUGCAGCGGCAAGCUCUAAUCUUUUUCAUGUUCGAUUCUUGGUUUCUUCCCUUCGCAGCUAAACAGAGGAAUCCAAGCUGCUGCAUUGACGGCGGAGGAGACAGCGGCGGCGAGGAGAUCGGAGGCAAUGGCGGAGGAGGCGGCGGCGGCCGGCGGGUGGUAUUGGUGCCACAUGUGCGCCUCGGCGGUGAGCGCCGUCGCGGCGGCGGAGGGGGAGGCGGAGAUCAAGUGCCCGUACUGCCAAAGCGGCUUCCUCGAGGAGAUGGAGACCGCCCGCGGCGCGGCCGCC